AACGAACGCUGGCGGCAUGCCUAACACAUGCAAGUCGAACGAGACCUUCGGGUCUAGUGGCGCACGGGUGCGUAGCGCGUGGGAAUCUGCCCUUGGGUUCGGAAUAACAGCGAGAAAUUGCUGCUAAUACCGGAUGAUGACGUAAGUCCAAAGAUUUAUCGCCCAAGGAUGAGCCCGCGUAGGAUUAGCUAGUUGGUGAGGUAAAGGCUCACCAAGGCGACGAUCCUUAGCUGGUCUGAGAGGAUGAUCAGCCACACUGGGACUGAGACACGGCCCAGACUCCUACGGGAGGCAGCAGUGGGGAAUAUUGGACAAUGGGCGAAAGCCUGAUCCAGCAAUGCCGCGUGAGUGAUGAAGGCCUUAGGGUUGUAAAGCUCUUUUGUGCGGGAAGAUAAUGACGGUACCGCAAGAAUAAGCCCCGGCUAACUUCGUGCCAGCAGCCGCGGUAAU
rnacentral:rRNA from 1 species